rnacentral:rRNA from 1 species
UACGGAGGGGACUAGCGUUGUUCGGAAUUACUGGGCGUAAAGCGCGCGUAGGCGGACCUGCAAGUCGGGGGGUGAAAGCCCGAGGCUCAACCUCGGAACUGCCUUCGAUACUGCGGGUCUCGAGUCCGGGAGAGGUGAGUGGAAUUCCUAGUGUAGAGGUGAAAUUCGUAGAUAUUAGGAAGAACACCAGUGGCGAAGGCGGCUCACUGGCCCGGUACUGACGCCUGAGGCGCGAAAGGCGUGGGGAGCAAACAGG